ACUAGUGUUCGCAUGGGAUUCCUGAUCGCUUCCUACACAUAUACUAGAUCGAUUGGGUGAUCGAUCCAUCACCAGACGUAUUGACGACGCAGAGGAGGUCCAGAGGAUUAAUCCAUCACAAGAGCCCCGUCGCGGACGCAGAGGAGAGGGGAGGCGGGUCGAUCAAUGGGAUCCUGGUUCUCUUCCCCUAAGGGCGACGGCGUCGGCGCCGGCGAUCUUGGUUAUGUGCGUAGAGCCGCCGUCUCAAAACAGUUUGCAGCUCGCCUUCAACAACUCAAGGACAGCGGACGUGCUGUUGACCCCAACACCCAAGAAGGAGAGGACGCCUACCACAUUCGUGAUCUCGCGGACUUGGCCCUCCGACAUUACAACUCCAACCACGCGGUACGCCCACCUACGACUGACCCACAAGCUACCAACUAGGAGUCUCUUUUCUCAGUCUCGAUCCUCCCAUAUAUAUAUAGGCACAGCUUACUUACUUAGUUAUUCUUGUUUUGAGAUCGAUAUUGUGUACGUAUGGAGGGUCCCGAGUUCCGGCUUCCUGAUCGGCCCACCGCAGGCAGCGUUAGUUUCAUGUGCCCUGAUCUGCCGACCACGGAUUUGAAGGCCGCCUGUGUUGGUUUUAGGGAAGACCUCUGGUACCAUAUCAACUUCUCGGCUCGCCAGACAGACGAUGAUGAGCACGUCUUCUUCGCCGAGCUACGCUACGGCCGGUGCUCUGACCAACUAACCGUGGAGACAUGCACCAUCCUAGACGAGCCGUUGGACCGUUUGGCAAGCAGCUGCGCAUUGUGUCCCAAUGAAUCCAAGAUUUUGCACCCAAAUUCCGUACAACUCGGAUGUGGAAGAGAGGGGCAGCAAAAGGAAUUUUUCCGCGAGAGACGUGUAUGGAAUGGGCACACAAAGGAACUUUUCAGCAAGAGCGAUAUGCUACAGACCCCCUUCUUGAUAGGAGGAAAUGGGCCUCGAUAUAGACUAGAUUGACCAUCAUUUAUGUAUUUUUUUUUCUUCUUCUCAUCAUUUAUCACAUGUGUGUUUAAUUUACUGCAUCAUUCAGGAAAAUGAACCCUGUAAGAGCAACUUUU